CUAAGAAUCAUCUGGAGAUCUUGUAAAAAUGAAGGUUCUAAUUCAAUAGGUGUGGAGAUGUGCUUCAGAAUCUGCAUUCCUAACAGAUUACCAGGAGAUGCUAAA
rnacentral:miRNA from 1 species